rnacentral:rRNA from 1 species
UACGUAGGUGGCAAGCGUUAUCCGGAUUUAUUGGGUGUAAAGGGCGUGUAGGCGGGAAUGCAAGUCAGAUGUGAAAACUCAGGGCUCAACCCUGAGUCUGCAUUUGAAACUGUGUUUCUUGAGUGCUGGAGAGGCAAUCGGAAUUCCGUGUGUAGCGGUGAAAUGCGUAGAUAUACGGAGGAACACCAGUGGCGAAGGCGGAUUGCUGGACAGUAACUGACGCUGAGGCGCGAAAGCGUGGGGAGCAAACAGG